UGAACAAAAGCUGUGAUGCACUUUCCAG
rnacentral:piRNA from 1 species